UACGUAGGGGGCAAGCGUUGUCCGGAAUCAUUGGGCGUAAAGAGCGUGUAGGCGGUUCGGUAAGUCGGCUGUGAAAGUCCAGGGCUCAACCCUGGGAUGCCGGUCGAUACUGCCGGACUAGAGUUCGGAAGAGGAGAGUGGAAUUCCUGGUGUAGCGGUGAAAUGCGCAGAUAUCAGGAAGAACACCCGUGGCGAAGGCGGCUCUCUGGUACGUGACUGACGCUGAGACGCGAAAGCGUGGGGAGCAAACAGG
rnacentral:rRNA from 1 species